rnacentral:rRNA from 1 species
GACGAACGCUGGCGGCGUGCUUAACACAUGCAAGUCGAACGGACAGGCCCUGCUUUUGUGGGGUGCUCGAGUGGCGAACGGGUGAGUAACACGUGAGUAACCUGCCCUUGACUUUGGGGUAACUUCAGGAAACUGGGGCUAAUACCCGAUAGGAGCUCCUGCUGCAUGGUGGGGGUUGGAAAGUUUCGGCGGUUGGGGAUGUACUCGCGGCGUCUCAGCUUGUUGGUGGGGUUGUGGCUUACCAAGGCUUUGACGGGUAGCCGGCAUGAGAGGGUGACCGGCCACAUUGGGACUGAGAGACGGCCCAGACUCCUACGGGAGGCAGCAGGGGGGAAUAUUGCACAAUGGGCGGAAGCGUGAUGCAGCAACGCCGCGUGCGGGAUAACGGCCUUCGGGUUGGAAACCGCUUUCGCCUGUGACGAAGCGUGAGUGACGGUAAUGGGUAAAGAAGCACCGGCUAACUACGUG